UGAAGGCUACCAUUGAGCGCACAAAGAACCGGUUCGCUAACUACGCGAAGGCCGGUCUGCUGUGCGGCAACGAUGGCCUUCCUCAUCUGAUUUCCGACCCUGGCCUGGCACUGAAGUAUGGCCAUGCUGGCGAGGUCUUCGUAAGUCACUAUGGGUGUCGACUUUGGGUUCGUAAUGUUGGUUAGUCCAGGUGCUGACUUCUCGUGUGGUGAUGUUGGUUCCCCCUGUGCAGAUCCCCACCUUCGGCUUCUUGUACGUUGCCGGUUACAUUGGCUACGUCGGCCGUCAGUACCUGAUCGCCGCCCGGUCGGCCGCUAAGCCCACUGAUAAGGAGAUCAUCAUUGAUGUGCCGCUGGCUGUGCGCCUGGCCUGGCAGGGUGCGGGCUGGCCGCUGGCUGCCGUCCAGGUAUGCAGUGGAGCCUGAAAACAUAGGCUUCAUUUGUGGGUUCAGUGGGUUUGUUUCUUUGGGUUAUUUACCUAAGGGACUUCGACAUUAUGAAAGGCCAAUUGUGUUUUGGGGACAUGUUUCCAUUAUGAGGUCGAUGGUUGAUCUCCCGAGGUUAUCAGGUUUGGGGUUGGGGUUUGAACCAUCGCAUCUGUAGUUAUGAGCUUGGGUGCGUAAGCGUUGUAGUCUGC
rnacentral:lncRNA from 1 species